CCACUGCAGGGCCUGGCUGUGACAUCCCUGGGGCCUGAGAGGCAGACCUCGAGGCAGCCCAGGAUGUGCUAGCUUUGCACCCUUGGUCUCAUUCUUAUUUUUGGAGAAGAGACAUGGUCAUCCCUUCCCAUCCAUUUAGCAGUUAUUUUCCUGAGCACCUACUAUGUGUCUAGCCCCGUGCUGGCCUCAGAGAAGAUGAGCCUCUCCUAGUCUCUGCUCUCAGAAUUCACGGGUUGGAAAGAAUCUGACUAUGAGCUGAAAUAAGAAAUAACACCGUGUUGGCAUCGGGCAGCCACUCACUCAGGCCGGGUGAAGAUGGGCAUAUGAAGCAGGGGCUGGAAGCCCAUGCCUGGGGAAUGAGCUGCUUACCAUGUAGAAGAAAGCUGAGAGUUAAGGAUUGUGAAGGGUCUCAUUGGCCAGGAAAAGGGUUUUCGUGUUCGUUUACCUGAGAGUCCUGGGGAGCUACAGAUAGUCAUGGGGUGAUAUGAGACUUAGGAAGGCUCACUGAGCAGAGCGGAGGGUUUGAGAUAAAACAAGGCACUUCAAGGGUGCUCUUGCCAAGACGCCUGGACUCCUCCCGAGCGCUAGAAGGUUACUGAAAGGGCGAGUUUGCCCUCUCUGCCUUUGUCUUGUAUCUGUCUCCUUUCCUUUGGCUCAGACUCCGCUUGACUCAGCCUUCCUGACCUAACCCUUCUGAGCCAAAGGCACAAAGACAAGUCACUGUCUCAAACCAGCCCAGCAAAGACUUGUGGGGCAACUGCUUCCCCACAUGAGGGCCGGUGUUCCCCAGGUAACUCUGUACAGCACACCCCCACACCCAGGAGCGGGAGUGACCCUCUCCCGAGAACCCACAUGUCCCCUUAAGCGAUGCGACCUCUUUGAGCCAUCUUACAAGGCCAGUCUGCUCAGGUAUGCAUACCUCUUGCUGUCUGUGCCAGUUCUUCCAAUAUUUAAACUUAAAAUACAUACAAUGGUGGCUCGUGCCUGUAACACCAGCACUUGGGAAGCUAAGGCAAGACAAUUAGGAAUUCCAGGCCACCAUCUGCUACAUGAGACACUGGCUCAAACAGCUAGCCAGGCAGUGAUGGUACACACUUUUAAUCCCAGCAUUCAGGAUGUAGACACAGGCAGAUCUCUUAUGAGUUCAAAGGCAGCCUGGUUUACAGAUUGAGGUUCCAGAAUAGUCAGAACUACAUACAGAAACCCUGUCUCCAAAAACAGGGUAGCCAUAUUGAAUUAAUCCUUUUGUAUUUUUUUUAAAGAUUUAUUUAUCUAUCAUAUAUAUGAGUACACUGUAGCUGUCUUCAGACACACCAGAAGAGGGCAUCGGAUCUCUUUACAGAUGGUUGUGAGCCACCAUGUGGUUGCUGGGAAUUGAACUCAUAACCUCUGGAAGAGCAGUCGGGUGCUCUUAACCGCUGAGCCAUCUCUCCAGCCCGUGUAUUUUUUACCAUUGCUGCCCUAGCCUCUUUUUAGACAAGAGUCUUUUAAAGAUUUACUUAUUUUAUGUAUCUGAGUACACUGUAUGUUACUGUCUUCAGACACACCAAAAGAGGGCAUCAGAUCCCAUUACAGAUGGUUGUGAGCCACCAUGUAGUUGCUGGGGACUGAACUCAGCUCUUAACCAAUGAGCCAUCUCUCCAGCCCUAGACAAGUCUUAUGUGGUACAGCCUGGCCUCAACUUGCUGUGCUAAGGAUGACUUUAAACCUCUGUUUCUCCUGCUCCUGCCUCUCAAGUUCUGGGAUUUCAGGCCUGUGACAACUCAGUCUUGAUGGGGACUGAACCAGACCUUCACUGGUGCUAAGAGAUCAUUGUACUAAAUAGUUAUUUCUUUAAUGGUUGUAGAAGCCAAGCUCUACUGGUUGGCUAUGAGAGCCCCCCUCUCCUACCCAAAAAUCUCUGGUUAGCUAGAGGGGUAUUCAGCUCACACUGGGGAAUCAGGUGGUGGUGGCGAGGGCAACAGGGAGUCCAUGUUGCCAUUCCCCUUCUGAAACUGCCAUCUUGGAAGAGUCGUAAAGAUAAGGAAUCGUGAGUCACAUCUGGAGGCCAGGCCAGCAAUCCUCCUUGCCCUACCCAGCCUUUCCCUCCCAGGCUCAUCUCUAGCUCCUUCCUCCAGAUGUGGAAAGCCCACCCAGAAUGGGAGGAGAGGGGAGCCUGCAGGGCACAGCGGAGAUGCUGUCAGAUCUGCAGCGAGGCUGGGCUGCCCCAUCAUCCCCAGCCCCGCCCUCAAGUAACCACCAGGGAAACUAACCACAGCAGCUUCGGUCUUCCCUCUGAGGCCUCCCCAGACUUCAGUUACAGCCUGGCCAGUUCCUCUACAGUUCCAACUGUGUGUGCCCCUCUCCCACAUCAGGCAGGGUUCCAGGAAGAGGACCAGAGAGGUGAGGCAGGCAAACCCAAGGGCUGAGAGCUCAGGGCUCCAGGAGACGUCCCUGACAGGUCAUGACUUGAAUAGAAGGCCUGUGUCUCCAGGAAGUCUCUGAGGCCUGAGGACACUUCUCUGUAGGUGCUGUCCGAGCAGGCUGGCCACAGAGGAGCAUGGUAUGAGGAUCAGUCUCUGGACUGGGGCCUGGAGAUUCUGGUUUUGCCUCCAUCCCUGCUUGUUCAGUUUCUCCAUUUGCAACUGUACGUGUAAGUCCUGCUUUCCUUACUGAGGGCACCAUAGGGCAGGACUCAGGUCUGUGGCCCUUCAGAGGUGACCUUUGCCUUGAGACAAUCGGAUGCUGUAGCCCAGGCUGGUCUGGAAUUUGAAGCAGUCCGGCCUGCGAUAACAGGUGAGAGUUCACCAUACCUAGCUGAGCUUAGGUUUUACAGUCCCCUUGUUGACUUUCAAGGUUACCUUCCUUGGUGUCUGGUUAACCCUCUCCUGGGGCCCUCUCCCACCUGAGCUGUGGUAUGGAUUUGCCAGAUGCUAAUGGCCCCUGUAACAGGCACUGUGGUUUUUAAGGCAGGGUGGACAGAGAUAAAGUCCUUUCUGUGCUCCACACCCUUAAGUGCUCAGGGCCUCCUGGUGGUGGCACCUACUUAUCUGUCAGGCCCAGUGCCCGGCGCCUUGCUUUCAAAGCCUAUCUCAUUUGAGCGUAUCAUCUCUCCUUCGUCUCUGCCCACCUGGUGAACUUCUGUCCAGGGAACAGCAGCUGUGGCCAGAUCCCAGACAGAGGCGGGAUGCGGAACAGAGGCGAGCAUGGAUUUGGGGGCCGUGGCCCUGGGCGUUGGUUAUUCUGAACAAUGUCCAGAUUCUAGAAGGUAGCAGAUGUCGAUCAUUCCAUGGGUCAGUGCCACCCACAUUCAGGAUGGGACUUGCAUCAUCAGUUAGACUUCUCUGGAAACAUCCUCUCAGGUGUCCCCAGAGAUGUGUCAGAAGGCAUACCAACCUCACGCAAAGGCUCCUCACAAUGGCGGCCCCUCUUCCCACAGCAUUUUCUGUAGUGAUCCUGAUUGCUCUGCCUACCUUGUAAGUAACCAAAAGGAAGGGGGGGGUGUAUUUUGGCUCAUGGUUUGAGGGGAAACGGUCCACCUCAAUGAGGAAGACACGGUGGCAGAAUGUGGGACAGGUGGUCAUACUAUGCUUGCCAUCAGCAAGCAGAGAGAGAUGAAUGCUGGCCUCAGUCCUCAUUCUUUCUUAACUGUUCCCCGCCUGUGGGAUGCUGCUGCCCACAUUCAGGGUUGGCUUUCCUUCUUCAGUUAACCCUUCUGGGAAAUAUCAGCAGAGACCUGUUCAAGGUUGUGUCUCCUUCCCAACACUCACUUGGUAGCUCACGACCUCCUGUAACUCCAGUUCCAGGGGUGUCCAAUACCAUUUUCUCACCUCUGUGGGUACCAGGCACACACAUCAUGCAAAUACAGACAUACAUGCAAGCAAAUGCUUAUAAAUUUUGGUCAUUUCUUUUCAAAAAGGCAAAAUUAAUGCAGUGCUGAAAUAAAUGGUUACUGUAUUGAAGCUCAAAGGAAAUAGUAACUGGACUAGUCUCAAGCCUUCUUUUGCUUUGGAAUGAGACUUUGAAAGUUGGGCUUUUCUUCCUCUGAAUUUCCAGGUAUUCCUAGGGAUCAGUUAGUCAAUUGGAUCUGGAGGUCCUUUUCUUUUUUCCCCCUAAAUAGUAUGUAAACAAAAGUAUAAAGAUGUUCAUGCUGGACUUUCAUGGGUUUUAGGUCACUCUCUACUUGGGGCUUCAUUUAGCUUCAAAGAUGACUUAAAAAAAAAGAUUUAUUUAUUUUUAUGAGUAUGGGGUACCUGUCUUCAGACACACCAGAAGAGGGCAUCAGAUCUCAUUACAGAUGGUUGUGGGUCACCAUAUGGUUGCUGGGAAUUGAGCUCAGGACCUCUGGAAGAACAGUCAAUGCUCUUAACCACUGAGCCAUCUCUCCAGCCCAAUGACUGGUUUUUGCUGUUUGUCUUUUUUUUUUUUAAAUUUUUAUGUAUAUGACUACACUGUCACUGCUUCAGACACACCAGAAGAGGGCAUCAGAUCCCAUUACAGAUGGUUGUGGGUCACCAUAUGGUUGCUGGGAAUUGAACUCAGGACCUCUGGAAGAGCAGUCAGUACUCUUAACAGCUGAGCCAUCCCUCCAGUCCCGCUGUUUGUCUUUGAGACAGAGUUUCUUUGUGUAGUUCUGGUUGUACUGGAACUCAGAGACAUCCAUCCACCUGCCUCUGCCUCCAGAGUGAUGGGAUUAAAGGCAUGUGGCACCACUUUUUUCGGUUAGUGUUUGGGUCAGAUACCUUGCAGCUGAAGCUGCAGGUGGUUUUGAGCUGCCAAUCUGAGGGCAAGCACAGUUUGUGCUCUUAACUGGGCGUCUCAAGCGGUGGCUUUGUUGCUUUUUGAGACAGGGUCAUGCACUUCGAAUUGAAGAGUGAAGACCGCUCUAGGUCACCGCCCUGAGGUAUGCUGGUGUUUUGUGAGGUGUGUGAAAUGUAUCCUACACAGUAGAGAAGUAAAUGGAUUGCACCUAUUCUGAUAAAUUGCAGUGAUAGAAGGGUCGAAGGCUGCAGAGCAGGGAGAGGGAGUCAGGGAUGAAUCACCCUUUGAAGAAAUUCCAGCCCGAGAGAUUUUUAAGGAGUGCAUAAUGCCACGUUAUCUAAAAUUUAAGGAGGGGAUGGCGAGAUGGCCUGAGGGUGGGGAGCUCAUCCUGUGUCCUCCAGUUUCUACUCUCCAGAGGGCUGCAACAUUCUGGGCAAAUACUUAUCUCCAGUUCAAAGCAAAGAUUAGCUGUCUGUCCUGGUCUGAGUCCACAUCACAUUUCUUCUUUCUGGAUGGCGCUGGUACCUGAGGCACAGGAAGCAUUUGAUCUACCACUGAGCUACAUGCCUGCACCACAUACCUACGGGUUCCUAGGAGUAAUUCAAGUACUGGGUAAUGUGGAUGGAUGUCUCUGUGGAGGCCAGAGGACCUCAAGCAUCCCCCACUCCAGCAAUAUCUUUUCCUUUUUUCAAACAAGGUUUCUCAGUGUACCCCUGGAUGUCCUGGAACUCACUUUGUAGACCAGGCUGGUUGCAAACUCAAGAGAGCGAUCCACCUGCCUCUGCCUCCCCACUAUUAGAAUCAAUGGCCACCACUCCUGGCCCAUCAUUGGGUUUUUAAGGGACUGAAACAGACCUAAAUGUAAGGCCUCAGAGAUGCUAAAAGCUCAGCAGGCAAGGUGUAUCUGUGCUGAGAACACAGAAAUGGGAGGCAUCUUUUCUUGUGGGGUGUGAGUGCAGGGGGCUGGUGCUUCAGGGAGGCAGGCUCAGACACAGCCCACAGACACUUCCGUUCACAUUUUAUUAAGUUCACAACAGGCGGAGGGGGUGGGACGGUCCCGCCCUGCCCCCACCUUCACUGGCACACAAUAAAUAAAUAAAUAGCUGGGAAUGGGCAGGUGGAGAGGUGGAGCUGCAAACACUGACUGCAGGCGGGGACUUGAGGGUCCCCUCCAAGCUGUAAAAGCCAUCAACACUGGACGGUACUAUGGUGGGAGGGGGGACUUCUCCAUAUCACCCCAGGCCAACAGAGGAGCCCACCGGGCAGUCUGUGGAGGGGGGUGA